UGGGGAAUAUUGCCCAAGGGGCGCAAGCCUGAUGCAGCCAUGCGGGGGGUAUGAAGAAGGCUUUCGGUUGGAAAAGUAUUUUCAGCGGGGAGGAAGGGAGUAAGGUUAUUACUUUUGCUCAUUGACGUUACCCGCAGAAGAAGCACCGGCAAACCCCGUGCCAGCAGCCGCGGUAAUACGGAGGGUGCAAGCGUUAAUCGGAAUUACUGGGCGUAAAGCGCACGCAGGCGGUUUGUUAAGUCAGAUGUGAAAUCCCCGGGCUCAACCUGGGAACUGCAUCUGAUACUGGCAAGCUUGAGUCUCGUAGAGGGGGGUAGAAUUCCAGGUGUAGCGGUGAAAUGCGUAGAGAUCUGGAGGAAUACCGGUGGCGAAGGCGGCCCCCUGGACGAAGACUGACGCUCAGGUGCGAAAGCGUGGGGAGCAAACAGG
rnacentral:rRNA from 1 species